rnacentral:rRNA from 1 species
UGUCUCAAAGAUUAAGCCAUGCAUGUCUAAGUACACACUGAUUAAUAGUGAAGCUGUGAAUGGCUCAUUACAACAGCCGUAGUUUAUUUGAUUUAUAGAGUUACACGGAUACCUGUGGUAACCUAAGAGCUAAUACGCGCAAUUAAGUCCAGACCUCACGGAACGGACGCGGUUAUUAGACCAAAACCAAUCGGGCUUGUCCCGGUUUUUUGGUGACUCUGAAUAACUCUGCAGAUCGCACGGUCCUCGCACCGGCGACAUGUCAUUCAAAUGUCUGCCUUAUCAACUUUCGAUGGUAGUUUAUGCGCCUACCAUGGUUGUAACGGGUAACGGAGAAUUAGGGUUCGACUCCGGAGAGGGAGCCUGAGAAACGGCUACCACAUCCAAGGAAGGCAGCAGGCACGCAAAUUACCCACUCCCAAUACGGGGAGGUAGUGACGAAAAAUAACGAGACGGUUCUCAAAGAGGCCCGUCAUCGGAAUGGGUACAAUUUAAAUCCUUUAACGAGGAUCUAUUGGAGGGCAAGUCUGGUGCCAGCAGCCGCGGUAAUUCCAGCUCCAAUAGCGUAUAUUAAAGUUGUUGCGUUUAAAAAGCUCGUAGUUGGAUCUGCGCCUUAGGUUUGCGGUCCCCUAACGGGAGGUACUGCUUUACCUGGGCUUAUCCUCUGGUUUUCCCUUGGUGCUCUUUACCGAGUGCUCUGGGUGACUGGAACUUUUACUUUGAAAAAAUUAGAGUGCUCAAAGCAGGCGUCAGCCUGAAUAGUGGUGCAUGGAAUAAUAAAAAAGGACUUCGGUUCUAUUUUGUUGGUUUUCGGAACAGAAGUAAUGAUUAAGAGGGACAGACGGGGGCAUUCGUAUUGCGACGUUAGAGGUGAAAUUCUUGGAUCGUCGCAAGACGUACUAUUGCGAAAGCAUUUGCCAAGAAUGUUUUCAUUAAUCAAGAACGAAAGUUAGAGGUUCGAAGGCGAUCAGAUACCGCCCUAGUUCUAACCGUAAACGAUGCCAGCUAGCGAUCCGCGGGAGUUAGAUAUAUGACUUCGCGGGCAGCUUCCGGGAAACCAAAGCGUUUGGGUUCCGGGGGAAGUAUGGUUGCAAAUCUGAAACUUAAAGGAAUUGACGGAAGGGCACCACCAGGAGUGGAGCCUGCGGCUUAAUUUGACUCAACGCGGGGAAACUCACCCGGCCCGGACACCGUAAGGAUUGACAGAUUGAGAGCUCUUUCUUGAUUCGGUGGUUGGUGGUGCAUGGCCGUUCUUAGUUGGUGGAGCGAUUUGUCUGGUUAAUUCCGAUAACGAACGAGACUCUAGCCUACUAAACUAGGCAGCAAAUUUUGUUGUUUGUUGAACUUCUUAGAGGGACAGAGGGUUUCUAGCCCUACGAGAUUGAGCAAUAACAGGUCUGUGAUGCCC